rnacentral:rRNA from 1 species
GAUUAGUGGCUCAGGACGAACGCUGGCGGCGUGCCUAAUACAUGCAAGUCGAACGGUCUUUCUAUGGAAGCUGCUCCACUGAGAAGAUAGUGGCGAACGGGUGAGUAACACGUGGACAAUCUGCCCCCCGGCCCGGGAUAGCCCAGGGAAGCCUGGAUUAAUACCGGAUGAGACGGGACCCGCGAUGGCGGGAUCCGGGAAAGGCGCUGCGGCGCCGGCCGGGGGAUGAGUCUGCGUCCCAUUAGCUAGACGGCGGGGUAACGGCCCACCGUGGCGACGAUGGUAGCCGGCCUGAGAGGGUGGACGGCCACAUUGGAACUGAGACACGGUCCAGACUCCUACGGGAGGCAGCAGCUAAGAAUCUUCCGCAAUGGGCGAAAGCCUGACGGAGCCGACGCCGCGUGAACGAAGAAGGCCGUGAGGUUAGUAAAGUUCUUUCGGGAGGGGGAACAACCGUGGCAGGGAAUGGCCGCGGGAUGACGUGAAUCCCGGAAUAAGCCCCGGCUAACUACGUGCCAGCCGCCGC